UCAUUAUUAUACAGUUUAGUCUAGUUUAUUAAUUCGACCAUUUAAAAAAAACAAGCACACAUAAAACUUGAAAAAGCCAUACUUGCACAUGAGCAAAAUCAUGGAGGAUAACACACAGUAAAGUCUGGGACUUAUUUCCAUGGUGGUCCUCUUGAGACAAGAUCAAACACGGUUGAACACAGUAUGGCAGCGAGAUAAUACAGCAUAAAAACAAAGAAGAACAUUUAUCUCAUCAUUGCAGUUAUGUCGUAGGGGACAUUAAUAUGGGAACAGAAGACUUCAAACAAUGCAGAGAGAGCUUCUCCAAGACAUUUGCUAAUGUUAGUAAGCUCUGUGCUAAGUAUGCUCUCCAACAGUUUUACUUUAAUGAGACACCAGAAGUGUAGUCAUCCUCAUAAAGGAAAAGACUGAGAACAAGCCUCUUUCGUAUCGUUUAUAUACAGUAAAAACAGUAGUGGUCCAAGCACGCUCCCUGCAGAACACUACAACUUAUUGGAUUUGCCUGAAACAGUGAACCAUUUAACCUCUACCACUUGCUCCUUACCUGACAAGUAGGACUUUAACCAGCCUAGAGGGAUACUGUUUAACUCCAGUGCCUCCAGUUUGGAGAUUAGGAGACAAUGGUUGACUGUAUCAAAGGCCUUUUGUAGGUCAAGAAGUACCAUUCCACAAAGACAAUUAGCAUUUCCUGUUAGUGCAGGAGGAUUUUCCUGCUGUAACAAAUGGGCUCAAAUUAAGAUCCUAUAUCUGUAGUAACAUUGGUGGCUGGUUUUACAAUGGAACAACCUUCCACAUUUCCAUAUGUUGUUUUGUUUCCUCUCUUUUACCCAGUGAUCAUCUGGAUGGUAGCAGGGUCUCUGGCAGCAGUGGUUAUUGUUCUAGUGAUGGUGUUGGCAGUUUACUGUGUCCAGAAGAAAAAUAAACCUUCAAAGACGCCAGCUAAUGAUGACAGCCAGGAUGUGGAAUACGUUGAUGUCAGGAUACUGAAGAAGCAGAUGAGACAGAAGGAGAAGGAGGCGUCAAUCGAGGUGGAGUAUGGACAGUUUAAAAUAUUAGAGGGUCCCCGGCGGAAGGUAGACACACCUGAGGAGGAGGACUGUGUGUACGCCAGAUUACAGAAAGGCCAGUGA
rnacentral:lncRNA from 8 species